rnacentral:rRNA from 1 species
CCUACGGGCGGCUGCAGUGGGGAAUAUUGGACAAUGGGGGGAACCCUGAUCCAGCCAUGCCGCGUGUGUGAAGAAGGCCCUCGGGUUGUAAAGCACUUUCAGUGAGGAAGAACGCCUGGUGGUUAAUACCCAUCAGGAAAGACAUCACUCACAGAAGAAGCACCGGCUAACUCCGUGCCAGCAGCCGCGGUAAUACGGAGGGUGCGAGCGUUAAUCGGAAUUACUGGGCGUAAAGCGCGCGUAGGUGGCUUGAUAAGCCGGUUGUGAAAGCCCCGGGCUCAACCUGGGAACGGCAUCCGGAACUGUCAAGCUAGAGUGAAGGAGAGGAAGGUAGAAUUCCCGGUGUAGCGGUGAAAGGCGUAGAGAUCGGGAGGAAUACCAGUGGCGAAGGCGGCCUUCUGGACUGACACUGACACUGAGGUGCGAAAGCGUGGGUAGCAAACAGGAUUAGAUACCCCGGUAGUC